rnacentral:misc_RNA from 1 species
GAUGAAGAACGUAGCGAAAUGCGAUAAGUAAUGUGAAUUGCAGAAUUCAGUGAAUCAUCGAAUCUUUGAACGCACAUUGCGCCCGCCAGUAUUCUGGCGGGCAUGCCUGUUCGAGCGUCAUUUCAACCAUCAAGCCCCCGGCUUGUGUUGGGGACCUGCGGCUGCCGCAGGCCCUGAAAACCAGUGGCGGGCUCGCUAGUCACUCCGAGCGUAGUAAUACAUCUCGCUCAGGGCGUGCUGCGGGUUCCGGCCGUUAAAAAGCCUUAUUUACCCAAGGUUGACCUCGGAUCAGGUAGGAAGACCCGCUGAACUUAAGCAUAUCAAAAGCGGAGGA